rnacentral:sRNA from 1 species
GCCUUGCGCUGCGCGCUCACCAUGGUGGGCCCCGCGCCGCGGCGGCGGCUGCGGCCGCUGGCAGCGCUGGCCCUGGUCCUGGCGCUGGCCCCGGGGCUGCCCACAGCCCGGGCCGGGCAGACACCGCGCCCUGCCGAGCGGGGGCCCCCAGUGCGGCUUUUCACCGAGGAGGAGCUGGCCCGCUAUGGCGGGGAGGAGAGUUUUAUGGACGAGGAGCCCCCUACAAUGCCUUGACGGGGAAGGACUCCACUAGAGGGGUAGCCAAGAUGUCCUUGGAUCCUGCAGACCUCACCCAUGACACUACGGGUCUCACGGCCAAGGAACUGGAGGCCCUGGAUGAGGUCUUCACCAAAGUGUACAAAGCCAAAUACCCCAUCGUCGGCUACACUGCCCGGAGAAUUCUCAAUGAGGAUGGCAGCCCUAACCUGGACUUCAAGCCUGAAGACCAGCCCCAUUUUGACAUCAAGGACGAGUUCUGAUGUUCCCCCUGCAGGAGCAGGUUCUUGGGAGCGUGAGGCAGGAAGACACUAGGUGCUGAAUCUCCUGCAAAACUGGCUGCCUGGAGGCCCUGAGCCACCCAGAUCCGAAUAAAACAGAUGCUUACCCUGGAAGAGCAAAUGCCUCCUGUUGUCCUUGGUCAGGGGUUCUGUCUACCUGGGGACCCCUGUCUGCACACCAGGGAUCAAUAAGAGCCAAAGUGGGACACCUCCUAGAUGUCAGUAUCAGCUGGCUGGGCAGUGGAAUUUUGAGCGACCUUUACUUUAUACUUUUCUGUGCUUGACAGAUUUUCAGCCAUGACCAUGUUCACUUUACAAUCAAAACAAAAAUAAAGGUCCCAUUUUUAC